AUUGAACGCUGGCGGCAGGCCUAACACAUGCAAGUCGAACGAGUGGCGGACGGGUGAGUAAUGUCUGGGAAACUGCCCGAUGGAGGGGGAUAACUACUUGAAACGGUAGCUAAUACCGCAUACCAUCGGAUGUGCCCAGAUGGGAUUAGCUAGUAGGUGGGGUAACGGCUCACCUCGGCGACGAUCCCUAGCUGGUCUGAGAGGAGGACCAGACACACUGGAACGGAGACACGGUCCAGACUCCUACGGGAGGCAGCAGUGGGGAAUAUUGGACAAUGGGCGCAAGCCUGAUGCAGCCAUGCCGCGUGUAUGAAGAAGGCCUGCGGGUUGUAAAGUACUUUCAGCGGGGAGGCGUUACUCGCAGAAGAAGCACCGGCUAACUCCGUGCCAGCAGCCGCGGUAAUAC
rnacentral:rRNA from 1 species